rnacentral:rRNA from 1 species
UACGUAGGCAGCAAGCGUUGUUCGGAAUUACUGGGCGUAAAGAGUGUGUAGGCGGUGCUCUAAGUUCGGUGUGAAAUCUCCCGGCUCAACUGGGAGGGUGCGCCGAAAACUGGAGUGCUGGAGCGCGGGAGAGGAAAGCGGAAUUCCUGGUGUAGCGGUGAAAUGCGUAGAUAUCAGGAGGAACACCGGUGGUGUAGACGGCUUACUGGACCAUAACUGACGCUGAGACACGAAAGCGUGGGUAGCAAACAGG